rnacentral:rRNA from 1 species
GAUGAACGCUAGCGGGAGGCUUAACACAUGCAAGUCGAGGGGUAUUGUAGCAAUACAUUAGACCGGCGCACGGGUGAGUAACGCGUAUGCAACCUGCCGUUAACCGGGGGAUAGCCCGUCGAAAGGCGGAUUAAUACCCCAUAAUAUUGGGAUUAUGCAUGGGAUUUCAAAUAAAGCUGAGGUGGUUAACGAUGGGCAUGCGUGACAUUAGCUAGUUGGUAGGGUAACGGCCUACCAAGGCUACGAUGUCUAGGGGUUCUGAGAGGAAGGUCCCCCACACUGGUACUGAGACACGGACCAGACUCCUACGGGAGGCAGCAGUGAGGAAUAUUGGUCAAUGGGCGAGAGCCUGAACCAGCCAUCCCGCGUGCAGGAAGACGGCCCUAUGGGUUGUAAACUGCUUUUGCGCAUGAAGAAUGUUACCGACGUGUCGGUAAGUGACGGUAAUGCGUGAAUAAGCAUCGGCUAACUCCGUGCCAGCCGCCGCGGUAAAAC